rnacentral:rRNA from 1 species
GUAAGGACCGAGCGUUGUCCGGAAUCAUUGGGCGUAAAGGGUACGUAGGCGGGUCAUUAAGUUAGAAGUCAAAGGCUAUAGCUCAACUAUAGUAAGCUUCUAAAACUGGAGACCUUGAGUAAUGGAAGGGAAAGUGGAAUUCCUAGUGUAGCGGUGGAAUGCGCAGAUAUUAGGAGGAAUACCGGUGGCGAAGGCGACUUUCUGGCCAUUAACUGACGCUGAGGUACGAAAGCGUGGGUAGCAAACAGGAUUAGAUACCCUGGUAGUCCACGCCGUAAACGAUGAGUGUUAGGUGUCUGGAGUAAAUCUGGGUGCCGCAGCUAACGCAUUAAACACUCCGCCUGGGGAGUACGCACGCAAGUGUG